AUCUAGUCAGGAUUCUAGUGGCCCUAUAACCCAUAGUCAGGGUCCCCAUGGCCCUAUAACCCAUAACCAGGGUCCCCAUGGCCCCAUAACCCAUAGCCAGGGUCCCCAUGGCCCUAUAACCCAUGUGCAGGGUCCCCCUGAUCCCAUAUCCUCAUGGUCCCAUAGCCCACAUCCCCAUAUCCAAUGUCCACACCCCAUAACAACCCCAUAUGCCCCACACCCCAUAACGACCCCAUAUGUCCCCAUAAUGACCCCUCAUAUCCCAACAUCCCAUAAUGAUCCCUUAUAACCCAACACCCCAUAACAACCUCACACCUCAUCAUGACCCUAUAUGUCUCCAAACCCCAUAACGACCCCAGACCCCAUAAUGACCCAUAAGCCCCCACACCCCAUAACCAGCCCAUAUGUCCCCACACCCCAUAACGACCCCAAUGUGUCCCCAUACCCCAUAAGUCCCCAGACCCCAUAAUGCCCCCAUAAGUCCCCAAACCCCAUAACGACCCCACACCCCAUAACGACCCUAUAUAACCCCACACCCCAUAAUGACCCUAUAUGUCCCCGCACCUCAUAACGACCCCAUAUAUCCCCACACCCCAUAAUGACCCCAUAAAGUCCCCUCAUGUCCCCACACCCCAUAUCGACCCCAUAUCUCCCCAUACCCCAUAACAACCCCACACCCCAUAAAGUCCCCAUAAGUCCCCACACCCCAUAACGACCCCAGACCGCAUAACGACUCCAUAUAACCCCAAACCCUAUAAUGUCCCCAUAAGCCCCCAUACCCCAUAACGACCCCAAACCCCAUAACGACCCCAUAAGUCCCCAUAACGACCCCACAACAACCCCAUAAGCCCUCAUAAUGACCCCAGACCCCAUAACGACUCCAUGUCUCCCCACAUCCCAUAACGACCGCAUAAGCCCCCACACCCCAUAGCGAUCCCAGACCCCAUAACGACCCCACACCCCAUAACAACCCCAUAAGUCCCCUGUCCCCAUAACGACCCCAUAUCUCCCCAAACCCCAUAACGACCCCAUAUGUCCCCACACCCCAUAAUGCCCCCAUAAGUCCCCAAACCCCAUAACGCCCCCAUAUCUCCCCACACCCCAUAACGACCCUAUAUGUCUCCACACCCCAUAAGCCCCCA
rnacentral:lncRNA from 1 species